GCCAGGGCUCCACUCCUUCUUUGAAGAAGGUAUUCGGUGACGUAUCAGUCUGCCAACAUCAACUGCCUGAUAACCACUGAGGGAUGUUCUCCCAUAAAAUACAAAGUGGGCCAAGCUGAUAUCCCUGCAAAAGGUGCUAAUGUCACUUAGCAACCUUACUCAUCUUUGAAAUGGAACUUCUUAAGGAUGCACAUACAUUGCUAGUGAGAAGAUAAUUUGUAUUGGAAAAAAAUUUGGCAAAUGGAGCAAAUGCAUGAACCAUUUUCAGUCCUGAUGGAAACCAGGUGGACACAAGCUUGAAAGAGAAACAUGCACACAAAAUCUGCCAGUUUGGGAAGACUGCUGAUUCAGACAGGUUUCCUUGGCUGAUGCUGCUGGGCUCCGUGGGAUGGCACCACCCUCACUGGCCAGCACGACAGGCUGAGCUCAUUUCCACUGCAGAGCCACUCCAGUAGUGUGUCUUUUCCCCAUGACUGUAUAAGGGAUUGAGGAUGUAUUUUGAGAAUAUUGAAAAUUAAAUCCACCAAGAAAUCAAAUCAAAUAAAAUCAA